UCUAACCAUAACUUAAAAAGUAAGUACUGUUCUCAUGCUCAUUUUACAGAUAGAAAACUGAGGUUUCUGAAGUUUGAGGAAGUUAGUUACAAUUAC
rnacentral:miRNA from 1 species